rnacentral:rRNA from 1 species
GACGAACGCUGGCGGCGUGCUUAACACAUGCAAGUCGAACGGAAAGGCCCUGCUUUUGUGGGGUGCUCGAGUGGCGAACGGGUGAGUAACACGUGAGUAACCUGCCCCUGACUUUGGGAUAACUUCAGGAAACUGGGGCUAAUACCGGAUAGGAGCUCCUGCUGCAUGGUGGGGGUUGGAAAGUUUCGGCGGUUGGGGAUGGACUCGCGGCUUAUCAGCUUGUUGGUGGGGUAGUGGCUUACCAAGGCUUUGACGGGUAGCCGGCCUGAGAGGGUGACCGGCCACAUUGGGACUGAGAUACGGCCCAGACUCCUACGGGAGGCAGCAGUGGGGAAUAUUGCACAAUGGGCGGAAGCCUGAUGCAGCAACGCCGCGUGCGGGAUGACGGCCUUCGGGUUGUAAACCGCUUUCGCCUGUGACGAAGCGAGAGUGACGGUAAUGGGUAAAGAAGCACCGGCUAACUACGUG